CACGUAGGGUGCGAGCGUUUGUCCGGAAUUAUUGGGCGUAAAGGGCUCGUAGGCGGCCAACUAAGUCGGAUGUGAAAUCCCCAGGCUUAACCUGGGAACUGCAUCCGAUACUGGAUGGCUUGAAUCCGGGAGAGGGAUGCAGAAUUCCAGGUGUAGCGGUGAAAUGCGUAGAUAUCUGGAGGAAUACCGGUGGCGAAGGCGGCAUCCUGGACCGGCAUUGACGCUGAGGAGCGAAAGCGUGGGGAGCAAACAGGG
rnacentral:rRNA from 1 species